AGCGAGACCUUCGGGUCUAGCGGCGGACGGGUUAGUAACGCGUGGGAACGUGCCCUUCUCUGCGGAAUAGCCACUGGAAACGGUGAGUAAUACCGCAUACGCCCUUCGGGGGAAAGAUUUAUCGGAGAAGGAUCGGCCCGCGUUAGAUUAGAUAGUUGGUGGGGUAACGGCCUACCAAGUCUACGAUCUAUAGCUGGUUUUAGAGGAUGAUCAGCAACACUGGGACUGAGACACGGCCCAGACUCCUACGGGAGGCAGCAGUGGGGAAUCUUAGACAAUGGGCGCAAGCCUGAUCUAGCCAUGCCGCGUGUGUGAUGAAGGUCUUAGGAUCGUAAAGCACUUUCGCCAGGGAUGAUAAUGACAGUACCUGGUAAAGAAACCCCGGCUAACUCCGUGCCAGCAGCCGCGGUAAUACGGAGGGGGUUAGCGUUGUUCGGAAUUACUGGGCGUAAAGCGCGCGUAGGCGGAUUGGAAAGUUGGGGGUGAAAUCCCGGGGCUCAACCCCGGAACUGCCUCCAAAACUAUCAGUCUAGAGUUCGAGAGAGGUGAGUGGAAUUCCAAGUGUAGAGGUGAAAUUCGUAGAUAUUUGGAGGAACACCAGUGGCGAAGGCGGCUCACUGGCUCGAUACUGACGCUGAGGUGCGAAAGUGUGGGGAGCAAACAGGAUUAGAUACCCUGGUAGUCCACACCGUAAACGAUGAAUGCCAGUCGUCGGGCAGUAUACUGUUCGGUGACACACCUAACGGAUUAAGCAUUCCGCCUGGGGAGUACGGUCGCAAGAUUAAAACUCAAAGGAAUUG
rnacentral:rRNA from 1 species